AGAGUUUGAUCCUGGCUCAGGACGAACGCUGGCGGCGUGCCUAAUACAUGCAAGUAGAACGCUGAAGAGAGGAGCUUGCUCUUCUUGGAUGAGUUGCGAACGGGUGAGUAACGCGUAGGUAACCUGCCUUGUAGCGGGGGAUAACUAUUGGAAACGAUAGCUAAUACCGCAUAACAAUGGGUGACACAUGUCAUUUAUUUGAAAGGGGCAAUUGCUCCACUACAAGAUGGACCUGCGUUGUAUUAGCUAGUAGGUGAGGUAACGGCUCACCUAGGCGACGAUACAUAGCCGACCUGAGAGGGUGAUCGGCCACACUGGGACUGAGACACGGCCCAGACUCCUACGGGAGGCAGCAGUAGGGAAUCUUCGGCAAUGGGGGCAACCCUGACCGAGCAACGCCGCGUGAGUGAAGAAGGUUUUCGGAUCGUAAAGCUCUGUUGUAAGUCAAGAACGAGUGUGAGAGUGGAAAGUUCACACUGUGACGGUAGCUUACCAGAAAGGGACGGCUAACUACGUGCCAGCAGCCGCGGUAAUACGUAGGUCCCGAGCGUUGUCCGGAUUUAUUGGGCGUAAAGCGAGCGCAGGCGGUUUGAUAAGUCUGAAGUUAAAGGCUGUGGCUCAACCAUAGUUCGCUUUGGAAACUGUCAAACUUGAGUGCAGAAGGGGAGAGUGGAAUUCCAUGUGUAGCGGUGAAAUGCGUAGAUAUAUGGAGGAACACCGGUGGCGAAAGCGGCUCUCUGGUCUGUAACUGACGCUGAGGCUCGAAAGCGUGGGGAGCGAACAGGAUUAGAUACCCUGGUAGUCCACGCCGUAAACGAUGAGUGCUAGGUGUUGGAUCCUUUCCGGGAUUCAGUGCCGCAGCUAACGCAUUAAGCACUCCGCCUGGGGAGUACGACCGCAAGGUUGAAACUCAAAGGAAUUGACGGGGGCCCGCACAAGCGGUGGAGCAUGUGGUUUAAUUCGAAGCAACGCGAAGAACCUUACCAGGU
rnacentral:rRNA from 1 species